UGGAGUGACCUCCCUCCCAUGAUAUGUUUGUAUCACUUUAGAGCAGGGAUUCUCAGAUGUCAGGGAGGAUACCCAAGUCACUGUGAACUGCAAACCCCCUUAGAAUGUAUUUAGUUCUACCGUGGAGGGUGGGUGAGACGGGGAGCAGACAGAGCUAUCACCCACCACCCGGGACCAUCAGUGUGGAAACCGCUGCUGGGGCGAGUGGCUGCUGCAGAGCUGGGUGGAUGCAUGCACAAUGGCAUCUUGGUGCGGAAAAAGUUGAGGACUAGCUUUAGUGAAAUGAUCUUGUCAGAGAUGACACGUGAUUGGUUAGUGAGAGUGGUGUUCUUGUCCUUCUCAAUACAUCCAAUUCUGUGUUCUUGGACCAAACCCAGCCCCCUUGAAUCUAGCCAGCCAUUUAGAAGUUUAUUCAGGAUCAGAAGAAGAUACAAGUGAAAGGAUCUGGGUGACUCCAUUCCCCUCAUUAGCACAUGUGACUCACAAGAUGUGUCAUGUCUAUAUAUAGUACAGGACACACAUACAGAUGGUUUCUUCAUUUGGGAAAAGUAUGUCUGUUCUUAUUCUGUAUAUAGAACAUAGAACAUAGACUCUAUACUAUAGUAAAGAUAAUUUGAGAUUAAGAAGUAGGAUUCCAGAAGACCUUUCCUCGGGGGACACUGAAAUGAGAAAUCAUCGGGAGGAUCUGGGGAAGGAUGACACCUGUAUCCCUUCACCCUCCACAAAAACCACUUCUCUACCCAUUGGUUCCUAGUGGAUGUGCUGAGAGGGAAGAGGUCUUUUAAACAGGAAAGGCAGGAGUUGCUUCUAGACAUGAGGGAAAGAUGUUAGGAUGAUGCAAAUAAGCUUCAAGGACAGAGAAAUCCACUCUCAAGGUUCUGGGUGCUUACGAGGUUUAUUAGCUAUCUAUGGCCACCUAGCAGAUGAACACAGGACGUAGUGGCCUAAAACAACAUUGGUUAUCUUCCAGUUUAUGUGGGCAGGAAUUAGGGAGCAGCUUAGCUGGGUGGUUCUGGCUUAUGAGGUUGCGAUCAAGGUAUUGGCUGGACUGCAGUCUUCUGAGGGCUUGACUUCAAGAAGGCGUGCUUACAGGGCUUUUGUUGGGAGGACUCAGUUCUGUGCCAGGUGGGCUGCUCCAGAGGUCUGCUUGAGUGUUCUCGUGACACAGUGGCUGGCUUUGUAAGAGAGAGAAGUCACACUCGGUCAUUUCUGCAAUAUCCUAUGGGUGGGUGAUAUGCGUCACCCCUACUCAGUAUGAGGGUGCAGAUGCCUGGAGGUGGGGUCACUGGGGGACAGCCACCACACGAGAUCAUGCCUGAUGCCAGCCUGAAAGGAUGCCGAAAACUUGUAAUUCAUUAAAGGUAAGAACUGCCUCAUCAACUGGUUAAAGAAAUGGAUUGGGACAAGUACUGAGCAAGCAGGGGCCCAGAAUCUCAGGGAGCUUUGGGAAAGGAGGGAAAGGAAGAAUAUGCAAAGUAGUUACAAGGUGGUUUCGAGCUCAGAUAUAGACUGCUUGGAAAGACGCUAGAAAACUGUCUUUCUCAUCUAGAAACCUGGGGACUAAGGUGUGAACUGAGAAGAUUGGGAUGGUGAUGGAGUGAUGUGGACAUCUGUACCCAGGACAUGACCUGGGGAACUUCCGCUCUGCAGGUGGCCUGGGAUGCUGACUGUGGGGGGAUUUUGAGAGCCAGGGAAGAUCCCACCAGUCCUGCUGGCAGCGCCAAACCAAACAGCCUCGGCUACAUGCUUGAUGGAGCAAGAGGCAGCAUGGCUUUAAAGCAGAAAUAUAAUCUAUAUUUAGAUUAUAAUAAUCUAUAAUCUAUCUAUCUAUCUAUAUAUUUGGGUGCCCCACUCAGCUUGUGGGAUCUUAGUUCCCAGACCAGGAAUGGAGCCCACACCCUCUGCAAUGAAACCUCAGAGUCUUAACAACUGCAGCGCCCAGGAAUUCCCAGAACUAUAAUAUUUAAUAGCAGCUACGCCACAACACCUACCUUGAGGGAGUAGCCAGCAUACGAGUAGGAGUGAGAUUUCCUGUCAGCUUUACCAGCCAAGUCAAUAUUUGGCUGGAGCUUAGACCAAGUGAGACUCAAAAAUAUGUCCUCAUACGUUCCUGUAUCAUUUUGCUUUCCCAUCCAUCCGUCCAUCCGUCCGUCCGUCCAUCCAUCCAUCCAUCCAUCCCAUGUUUAUUGGUCAUUUACUUUGUGCUUUGAUUUGCUAGAGAAAAACACAAUUGUUGAAUUUUCAAUUCAUAAAAUUGUGUUUUCCCCAGAUCAUGACCACAGUAUUGUCUCUGGAGCAUGUUACCACACUAAUCAUAUUUGUUGAGGGUGAAAGUCACACAAUUAACAAAUGGCAAAACUGAAACUAGAUUCAGGUUAGCCAGUCUGUCUAUACCCUUUUGGAGCACAUCACCUAAAAUGAUUUAUUUUUUCCUGGCUCAGGAUCUCUCUCUCCUGACCCUCAUUGGUUGUUGCUUCUUUUGAGAAGACUCCUUUCUCCCAAGCAUACCUGAAAACUCCAAAGAAAAUUACAUGACAAUAUCUCCAUACCUUAAAAAAUGUUAGACCACAAGACGUCGAGGCCUGUUUCUCCUGUCUUUCCUGCAUGAUCAGGGCCUGGGUAGUCUGUGUACCUCAGACGGAAUCAGGGAUCAAGGGAGUUGCCCCAUCGCUCUGUUCUGUGACAUGCUGCUAAAGGAUUGUGGGAGUUUCCUUGCCCUCAACCGGGAAGAUCUAGAAAAGACAGAUGGUUGCAGUUUCUGGAAGUGAGGAAGAUAAUUCUACCACUUCAGAAUCACCAGCCCAAGUGAUUACAGUUGUUGGGAAAUGAUUGCAUGGCGAGUCCUUAUCUUCAAUGGUGGCUGAAAAAUUAGAGGACAUCAAGGUUUUGCAAUAGCUAAGAGGGGUUUCUGAAGAGUUCUUAUCAUCUGCGAGGAUUCAGGCAGCUGGGAAAUGUCUGGCCUGGGGAGUUUCUGUGAUGUGUGUUCGGGGAGGGAAUUUGGAAACAUAUCAUUUGCCGCAAGGGUCCGGGGAAGAAGCUUUUUUAUGGGAAGGGUCAGAACAGCUGGGAGGGCAAUUCAGAGGCUGCAGCAGGUUUAAGGGAAUGGAAAUGGGGGCAUUUCCCUGCAGGGGAG